UUGCUUCUAANUAACCUAGCGGCGGACGGGUGAGUAACACGUAGGCAACCUGCCCACAAGACAGGGAUAACUACCGGAAACGGUAGCUAAUACCCGAUACAUCCUUUUCCUGCAUGGGAGAAGGAGGAAAGGCGGAGCAAUCUGUCACUUGUGGAUGGGCCUGCGGCGCAUUAGCUAGUUGGUGGGGUAAAGGCCUACCAAGGCGACGAUGCGUAGCCGACCUGAGAGGGUGAUCGGCCACACUGGGACUGAGACACGGCCCAGACUCCUACGGGAGGCAGCAGUAGGGAAUCUUCCGCAAUGGGCGAAAGCCUGACGGAGCAACGCCGCGUGAUGAUGAAGGUUUUCGGAUCGUAAAGCUCUGUUGCCAGGGAAGAACGUNUUGUAGAGUAACUGCUACAAGAGUGACGGUACCUGAGAAGAAAGCCCCGGCUAACUACGUGCCAGCAGCCGCGGUAAUACGUAGGGGGCAAGCGUUGUCCGGAAUUAUUGGGCGUAAAGCGCGCGCAGGCGGCUCUUUAAGUCUGGUGUUUAAUCCCGAGGCUCAACUUCGGGUCGCACUGGAAACUGGGGAGCUUGAGUGCAGAAGAGGAGAGUGGAAUUCCACGUGUAGCGGU
rnacentral:rRNA from 1 species